rnacentral:lncRNA from 1 species
AUGGGCGCUGCUGCCCGCGAUCUGAUUCUUUCUCCACAUAAGCACUGUAUUGGGAGAUGGUGUAGAUAAAGGUAUCCCACCUGCAAGUCCUCUGGUCAUUGCAGCCCAGACCUCCAUCACAGUCACACUGACCUGGAGAGUGUUCCAGACCCAUCACCCCUUGGACCCACUGCCUGGUUUCUCCUCAGUCUGUGGAGCUAGACUGGGUCCAGACUUUGGCCUUGCUUCCUGCUGGGUAUGGGGUAUACAACACGUGUUGGCUUCAGUUUCCUCAUUUGAAAAAUGGAUAUAUUAACAAGACAUACCUCUUGGGGCUUUUAAUGAAGACUGGUAGAUCGCUGUUCAGUUGAGUUCAGUUCGGUUUCUCAGUCGUGUCCGACUCUUUGCAACCCCAUGAAUCGCAGCAUGCCAGGCCUCCCUGUCCAUCACCAACU